GAUGAACGCUGGCGGCGUGCCUAAUACAUGCAAGUCGAGCGAACAGACGAGGAGCUUGCUCCUCUGACGUUAGCCGCGGACGGGUGAGUCACACGUGUAUAACCUACCUAUAAUACUGGGAUCACUACGGGACACCGGCGCUAAUCCCGGAUAAUCUAUUGAACCGCAUUGUUGGAUAGUGAAAGUCGGCUUUUCUGUCUCUUAUAGAUGCAUCUCAGCCGCAUUAGCUAGUUGGUCAGUUAACGGGUUACCAAGGCGACGAUGCGUAGCCGACCUGAGAGGGUGGUCGGCGACACUGGAACGGAGACACGGUCCAGAGUCCUACGGGAGGCAGCAGUAGCGAACCGGCCGCAACGGGCGAGAGUCUGACGGAGUAACGCGGAGCGAGAGAUGGAGGUCUUGGGAGCGGAAAACUGUGUUAUGAGGGAAGAACAAAUGUGUAAGUAAAUAUGGACGGAUUGACGGUACUGGAUCAGAAAGCCACGGCUAACUACGUG
rnacentral:rRNA from 1 species